rnacentral:RNase_P_RNA from 1 species
GCAGACGGCCGGGCGGUCGCGGCGGACUUCGCGUCCGUCGAGGAAAGUCCGGGCUCCACGGUGAAAAGGCGGCGGAUAACUUCCGCCCGGGGCGACCCGAGGGAUAGCGCCACAGAAAGCAAACCGCCUCCCGUUCGCGGGCGGCAAGGGUGAAAGGGUGGGGUAAGAGCCCACCGCGGACCUGGCGACAGGGACGGCAUGGCAAGCCCCGCCUGGAGCAAGACCAAAUAGGGACAUCGCGCGGGACAGGAUUCGUCCUGUUUCGCAGGGCUCACCGCCCCAGAUGUCCGGGUAGGUCGCGAGAACCGAUCAGCAAUGGUCGGUCCAGAGGAAUGAUCGUCGCCGUCUCGUGCUUCGGCAAGGGGCGGAACAAAACCCGGCUUACAGGCCGUCUGGCAUU